UACAGGGGGGGCAAGCGUUGUCCGGAAUUACUGGGCGUACAGCGCGUGCAGGCGGUCCACUACGUGCCGUGUGACAAACGUCGGCUUAACCGACGGAGGCCAGGGUACACGGGUGAACUUGAGGCAGAGAGAGGGAUGUGGAAUACCCGGUGGAGCGGUGAAAUGCGUAGAGAUCGGGUGGAACACCAGGGGCGAAGGCGGCAUCCUGGCUCUGUUCUGACGCUGAGGCGCGAGAGCGUGGGGAGCAAACCGG
rnacentral:rRNA from 1 species